rnacentral:rRNA from 1 species
AUGGCGACAGAGAACCCAGCAGGAGGGGUUCCAGGUAGCAGCGGGGAGGGCCACAGCAGUGGAUCCGCCCCAAAUCUUGAGGACAGGUUUAGCGGGUUGAAUCUCCAUGGUGAAGAAGAAGAGGAACUAGACCUAUCAGGUGAAGUGGAAGGGCUGAUUCAGGAGACUCGCUGGAUAGGGAUCUUUAGGGUUCAUACACAGAAGCCCUUCAUUCAUGUUGCCUUGUUUAAGGCGAUGCGCAAUGCGUGGGCUUCUGCCCAAGGAGUGACGUUUAAGCCAGUGGAAACCAACCUGUUUCUUGCCCAAUUCAUGUGCCUAGGCGACUGGAACCGAGUGAUGGGAGGCGGUCCCUGGGUUUUCCGCAACGCGGCUGUUGUGAUUGAAGAGUAUGAUGGUAUAUUUGAUGUCAGAGAUUACAAGCUGGAUAGGAUCCCAGUCUGGGCCAGAAUUAUGGGGAUUCCUGAAGGUCUGAUGUAG